GGCAGCUCUGCGAUGCCGAGCCUGUGCCGCUGCCCCUUGUGUGGCACUGCUCCUCGCCCGGGUGGCACUGCCCGUGUGUCACUGCUCCUCACUCGUGUGUCAUUGCCCCUGGCGCCUGUGGCAGAGCUGCUGUCACACAGCGCGGCGAGAAAGAGAUCAUCGCCUUCCCGUCACAGAACAGCCAUGGCUGCCUCUGCCGGAGCCCCUUCACCCUGCGGUGCCGCGGUUGGUGCUGGCAGAACCGCGGGUGCCCGGUGGGCCGUGCCGUGUGCGGGUCCCCCCGCGCCUUUGUUCGGCUAGCCCGGCGCGGGUCAGCCCGGCGCGGUCACCCCGUGCUAGGCCGCAGCUGGAGGAUGGGACCGCUCCGUGCGGCGUCUCCCGGGAGCUCCCCCGCUCCCCAGCCAUCUGCGGGUCAAUGAGAGACAACCGGCAGCAUCUGGCAGAUACGGUCACAGGAGGAAAGAAAGAGACAGUUACAGGUACCAAUACACUGAUGUGGAACCUGCAGGAAGGCUAAUUAAAGCAGUGUGGAAAAAGAAAACUACACCAAGAUGGCAUGACCUAUACACUGAACACCUCACAUCUUCAUCUUGGACUCUGCAUUUUACUCAGCAGCAUCCUCAACAUUUACUCUGCCUAUGACAUCACCUGUGCCAAACUUCCAAAGGCUGUUUGGGACACACAGUUGCUAGUAGGACAUUUUGAAGACAAAAGGUUUGUGCAAGUUUAACUUGGAGCAUGAACUGGUCCGAAGAAUAGUGACAGCAAUUCUGUUACACUUCUGUGGCAUUGAAGGAGUACUGCAAGGUACCCCAUACAAACAAAACUGACAGAAAGGAAAAACUUAACAUAACUCCCUUGGCUCUCCAUCUGGGUGUGUCAUUUCCUUUGAGUUGGAAGUUUUGCCCAUCUUGUCUUUUAAGAGAUAAAAUCUUUGUCUGACUUGCUUCAAAACAUGCCCUAGUUUCUUCAGGCAACUUAUGGGAACCUGUCCAUAUUUAACUGAGUUAGUUACUUCAUUUGUUUGCAGUUUCCAAAAUGGGCAAAAGCUUAUUAAAGGAAUAGGGGCAAUUCCAGAACUCUGUCUCUGAUAGUGAGAAUAUAUUUUAGGUAGUAUAAGAAAGUAAUCUAUAGUCUAGAAUCAUAUCUCUAACUAUUUAGACUGCUGGAGAAUCCAGAAAAAAAACAAACCCAAACUUGUCUAAUAACCUUUCUAGCUGUGUUUUCAUUAAGUCUGAGGCAGCUCAUAAGGAAGCUAUGGCAUGAUUUAUUUUAAUCAGUUAUUACGGAGGAGUCAUUAAAAAAACAAAACAAAAACUCGGCAAAAUCUUCCUUACAUACUUUUUGCAUUCCAAAUCCACAAAAAGUUUAGAUAAAAUCUCAUUUCAUUACAACCAAAACAAACCUCCUGUACUAGACUGCUUUCAUUUUUUUUCUGUAAGUGAUGAUGAUUCCAUACCUCUUCUGUCUACACUGGCUUUCCAGUUCAGUGUCUUUUGUGUCUGUUUCUUUAUAAUGUCACUAGGGUUAGUCAGGAAUUUUAUUGUCUCCUAAGGCUUGGUAAGAGCAUUUGACAGACUGUGAACUAGAGAUGGAGUAGGGAAAAUGAUUUAGCCAUUUUUGUCAUCUGAAGAUGACUUUCAGGACUGCUUGCACAUGUGAUUAUUCUUCCAGUUCAAACGUAAAAGAAUCUGGAUUUUGCCCUAUGUAUUGAACAUAUGCUGAAAGUUUUACCAACUUUAUGGCCUGUUAGUUUCAUUUGAUAUUAUUGUUGAGGUAAAAAGUGUGUAUUCAGGCACACACGGAAUCUUCUUUAGAAAUAACUCUUCUAUCUUAAAAGAGAGGAACCAUGGGGCUACUGAAUGAUUUAGAUAAAGAGUGUGUCCAGCUCUGCUCCUGUAAGUUACUGUCUCUAGGCAUUGUGAUAUCAAAUAAACAAAUGUUUUCAUCUACGGCAACUGCUGUUUAACAACUGAAAUGUGGCAUUGGCUGUACCUGUUCUUGGCACUGACCAAGAACAAACAAGAUGAAGGUUCAUCUUCGGUUCUUUCACUUAUUUUUAUUUACAUAUUUUUGAAGGCAGUGAGUGGAGGGAAGCAUAUAAAGGAGGAGGAUAACACCAAUUGCCAUAACUGGUCAAUUGUUAAAUGUGUCCAACUCUGAAUCAAGGGAGGACAGGAAUCCAUUACUGGAAUAUCCAUGGUAUGAUGUAUCAUUUAGGUUGUCUGAGGAUAUAUUGUUGAUAAAACAUCCCUGGCAGGAUCAUACUUUGCUCACAAAGACUCACAGAAAAAUUGAAGCAAAACCUGCCAAAGUCACCUCUCGCUAAAAAGAAAUAUUUCAAACAUAUUCUAACAAAUCCUGACUGUAAAAUGUGCAAAUUGGAUUUCCAGUAAUGAGACCCAUCAGUAGGCACAUUUUCUUGACAUAUUCUGUCUUGGAAAUAGUGAUUCAAUUUUCCAAAAGUCCUUUAAUUUGCUUAGAGAGGAAAGCAUUUUCAUUUUGCCCAGUCAGUUCUAAUAAUUUGCUAAAUUCAAAAUAUGUGAAAUUACUGAAGCUGGUUGUAGUGACCAGAAGGACCUCUAAUCUUCUAAUAAUAUUUUUCUUUUCCCCAUGAAUCAUGUAGGCUUGUACAAGAAAUUUUUCAGAACAGAUAAAACACAAAUCUUUGUUGACGUGCCAGUUGAUUGUUUCUUCCACAGACAGAAUUCUGGACAUUUGCUAGAAAUCCCCUUCAGAAAAUUUGCUUUAGGAAUCUCUGUUAGCUGCUGGGAUGUGUGGUUAGAAACUUGCAUUUUCUCCUACAAGUAAAGUUCCUUAGGAAUUCCCAUACAGAUGGGUAUUGAUCCUUCCUAUCUUGGCAGUAACAAGCAUGACGAGCUAUAUGAAGAGCAGUUGGGAAGGAAAACCAGUUUUCUACAGCUCUUGUAUACUUUAAAGCCUUGAAGGGUUUCAAACAAUAAUCCUUUAUCCCACAGUAUAUUCCCCGGGCGUUUUCUUUUGGGCACCAGAUGUUGAGUUGCGUGGACUUUGGAAUGCCUCAGGAGAGCCACACAUAAAUAACUCCUGUGUGCAUUGCAUGUAGCAUGUUCUAGUGGCACAGUCUUCUGUCCCAUAAACACUUAGGAGAUUGUCAAGGCAGUUGUGUGCUCAGCUAACUUUUCGGUUUGAAAACCAAGCUCAUAAGUAGUGUGCCUCUAACAGGUAUUUUCUAUGUCUUUCCUAAUUAAUAACCUAGGUAUUGUUAAAUACCUUGGUUUUAAAAGAGGCUAUCCCUUAAGUUGUCACAUAAUGUAUUUAUUCAAUCAAAUUUAUUUUAUGAAAAGAAGAGCUGUUUGUUUUUCUGCUCUACUUCUGGAGUUCCAGUAACUGUUAUGCAGAUACAAACACGUCUUUAAGUGGGUGCUUUUGCCAUUUCUCUUCCCUGGCAGCGUCACGCAAGGUUUCUGUCCAGAACACUGAAUUGCAGCCACAGGGUGGCUGGCAGAAGCAGUCCAGUACCCAUGAGGACAGAUACUGUCCUUCAGUGGAAAUAUGGGUGUAGGUAGGUAUGAUUAUCAUAAAAUAAAAAGGGACUGCACAGUUGCUCUCCAAAUGUACUGUUUAUCUCUUUAUUUUACAGUGCAAGGGUUAAGACAUUUUCUUGCAGCAUACCACACUUAAUUAUGAAUAUUAAUCCCUAUUAGGAGCAUUAGACUUCUUCAGGGAUUCACCUAAGGACAACUGAAGUACAUGGGAUGAGUUGAAGACCAAGACUUUAAGAGUAUUUUGAGAUUCCAGGGAGAAGACAGUCAAGAGUGUAGUCAACAAAGGGCACUAAAGUUUCUUUAUUUACUUAUUUGUGUGUGUCUGUAGUAAAACUGCAUUUGCCCCUAAACUCAAAGUAAAAUACUUAAACAGGAAGUUUUUCCUAUAGAUUGUCGAACAUUUGUAUUCUGGAUGCAGAUGAAGUCUCACUGCUUUUGCUGAACUCUUGCUCGUGGAAACUGACACCCAUUUGCAGAAGAAUCAGCACACAGACUUUCAAGGUUACCAAUGGGGAACUUCUGCACAGAACUGCAUCAUCUUCAACCAGGACUUCAUUCCUUUGCUCCUAACACUCUUUACUUACCAAAUUCUCCAUUGAACUCCUGUGCUCCUCCAAAAAGAAAAAAAAAGGAAAUGGGGUACAAGGCAGAAAGGUAGGGAGGGAUACUGGCUACAAGGAUAGGAUAGUGCAGCUUUAUGAAUGAUCUCAAAAUUUUGGGUUUUGCUGAACACUUUCCAGUGGAGACUGACACAAGUGUGAAUUUUGUCAUCUUGUUUGACUGAACUUUUGAAAUCAAGGUAUUACUGGUUAAAUUCCAACUUUCAGCAUUUCAAAUGAUCCUGAGUAAGGAGCAGAGAGAGGGGCAGGAAAGAAGAGCCAGAAAUCACCAGUCAAAAUGGUACAUGUUUCAUCUGUUUAUUGAUGGGCCUCCAGUCUUCUGAUGGGUCAGUUAAGACUAAAGCCAUCUGUAGGCUUCUCUGUUCUGUCCCUUCUCACCCCAAUCUCUACCUCUGUCAGAUAUUUCUGUAAUGAGCUCUAGGCUAAUUUCAUUUUUAGAAAACAAACAGAAGGAGAAUGGCACUACCUUGACCUGAGACAGUCUCUGUGUCAUGAUCUACACUGUAGAUCUAGGGGGGAAAAUAACUAUUUUAAAUAAUAAUAUACUAAAGGAAGGAGGUUAAAGAAACUGACGCUUCUCCAUUUUUCCUGGAUAUCUCCUGCUAGUUUCUGCUCUUUGACACACAGAGAACCCAUAUGUGCCUGUAAUGUUCAAGAUCUUUUGAUGUAAUUGAUAGGUGCUGAUGGGUGAAGUCCACAGCAAGCACUGUAUAUUGAGUCUGACUAUUUCUACGCCAACAUCAAUAAUUACCUGUGAUCCAUUACUAGCAUUCUUAUGCAAGUUGCUCUUGUUGUAUCAUUUAAAACAGAGCAGUACAGCACAGAGGAGCUGGACUCCCUGUCCUGAAGAAUUCAGUCUAGAAACUUAAUCCCAAUGUCAAACAAGAGACAGAGUGUAUGAAAAGAUAAAUUAUUCAGUAAUGAAUCCUACACACUUAUAAUGCACAAGUUGUAAUGAAUCUCAGUUGCUCUUGUAAUUUUGUAAAGUUGUUUACCUAAUAUGGUAGAUGUGCCAUAUGGUACACUAAAGAGAGUGUUAGAAUGAGGACGUGAAGAUUUCGAGGUUUUUAUUUCUAGUUUUGUAGGCAUCUGUAAACUACAUUCAAGCUGUCCUAGAAUGUGAGCAGAGGAAGAAUGCAGGCUGCUUUGCCCCUUUAUGCUGACUGCUGCUGCCACUUGAUAACAUCCUCCAUCUCUUCCUCCCUUGUUCCUCAGGCACUGUGGCCCAGCACAGAAGUGUAUGCUGGCUAAAUGCCAUCAAAGAAAGUCUUUCAGCCACUCUGCACCUUUAGGCUGGUUUAGCUUAAGUCAAGCUUUUUCACCCUUAAUAAAUCAUUUGAGCAGCUGAUUAACUCUUCCGCUGGGUAGGGAAUGUGACCAGGCUUCUAUUCCAGAGAGUUCUUUGGUAUGUUGCUUAUAGAAUUUCACCAUAGCUAAAACUAGCAAUGUGCUCAAUGUGGCAGCAGCAAAGAGGUUGGGACUGCCCAGCUCGAAGCAGCAUUCCUGUCUUGUAAGAAACUGGCAACACGACCUACAGUGAUGUCUGUAAAAUCACAGCUACUUUGCAGCACUGUAAUUUGUCAAAAAUUGAUAAAAUGGGAGUUAAAAUUCAUACAGAUGAAAAAGGCAGCUUCUUACUCACUCUUGAGUUUCAAGUGAUGGCUGAGAAAAGCAUUUGAGUACAACAAUAAAAUAUUAAUAUAAAACUUCUCAGAGGAUGGAGGCAGUCCCUCAGAGUGAUGCCAUGGGGGUAAGCGAGCAGAGCCCUGGGAAAGGCUUAACACUGUAAUUUUUAGUUAUUGGCCAAAGUCUACUGCAGGUGAGAGGAGGACAUAGAAACUAAACCAGUAAUAUCCCUCACCAUGAACUGAAUUUCUAGGAUUUUUGAUUUAAAGGUACACACACUAUUAUUUGGUGCCUGUGUGUUAAGAGCAAAUACCUAUCAGUUUUUAUGUUUUCCCUGUGAAUUUUAGGCAAACAGCUUCUCCCUUGUAGGUAUGUUUGCAUAUUUGGGGGCAGGGUAAGAUAUGGACAGUACAUCAGCACUGUUCCCAUUGCUCCUGGGGUUGACUGUCAAGCAGAUCAAUUUAAUUUAUGUUAGAGUACUACAAGUUAAAUGAUCACCACAAAUAUGUGAUGGGGGAAAUGUUGACACCCACAUCUGGGCAACCCCAAGUGGAAAAAAACUUGGACGCAUUUGAAGUGAUCCCCUAACUCAUGGCUCUUGUUCUUCCAGGUCUCCACCAGCCUCUAGACAGCAGCUUUCAGGCCAGUCAAGUUCCCAGAAUCAUAAACCAGCAGGUGCUGAGCCCAUCCCACUACAACAGAGUUCCAGCCUCUAAUGCCGCCCAUUCCCAAAACAUAAGAGCAAAGCUUAUUUUAAAAUACUGAUAUAAGAGGUGCUAUUUUAAGCUUCCUACCCGUUAAAACUUGAAAGUUAAGUUAAAUCAGGCAUUGGAAUAGGCUGCCCAGAGAGGUGGUGGAGUCACCAGCCCGGAGGUGUCUGAGAGGCGUCUGGAUCUGGGUGAUGUAAUUUAGUGGUUUAGGGGUUACAGUGGUAGUGCAAUUGGACUUGAUCUUAAAGGUCUCUUCCAGCCUUGAUGAUUCUAUGAUUCUAUUCUGUGAAAGAUAAAUCGUACCAUCUGAUAAUAUUGUUCCUAUUACAUUUGGUAAUAUUGUUUCAAUAAUUCAGUUUUCUGGGGAAACAGCG